rnacentral:rRNA from 1 species
UGCAAGUCGAACGAGAAACUGGUUUUUAAUCAGUGGACAGUGGCGAACGGGUGAGUAACACGUGAGAAACCUGCCCCGGAGACUGGGACAACCGUUGGAAACGACGGCUAAUACCAGAUACCCCCGAUUGGUCGCAUGGCCGAUCGAGGAAAUGCUCUGGCGCUUCGGGAGGGUCUCGCGGCCUAUCAGCUAGUUGGCGGGGUAACGGCCCACCAAGGCAACGACGGGUAGCUGGUCUGAGAGGACGAUCAGCCACACUGGGACUGAGACACGGCCCAGACUCCUACGGGAGGCAGCAGUGGGGAAUAUUGCGCAAUGGGCGAAAGCCUGACGCAGCAACGCCGCGUGAGGGAAGACGGCUCUCGGGUUGUAAACCUCUUUCAGUGAUGACGAAAAUGACGGUAAUCACAGAAGAAGCUCCGGCCAACUACGUGCCAGCAGCCGCGGUAAUACGUAGGGAGGCAAGCGUUGUCCGGAUUUCAUUGGGGCGUAAAGAGCUCUGUAGGCGGUUGUGUAAGUCAGAUGUGAAAACUUCAGGGCUUCAACCCGGAGACGCCCAUCUGAUACUGCACUGACUGGGAGUCCGGUAGGGGAGCAUGGAAUUUCCUGGUGUAGCGGUGGGAAUGCGCAGACAUCAAGAGGAACACCCAGUGGCGAAAGCGGUGCUCUGGGCC